UACGUAGGGGGCUAGCGUUAUCCGGAUUUACUGGGUGUAAAGGGAGCGUAGACGGCAUUGCAAGUCCGGAGUGAAAGCCCACGGCCCAACCGUGGGACUGCUCUGGAAACUGUAGAGCUGGAGUGCGGGAGGGGCAGGCGGAAUUCCUAGUGUAGCGGUGAAAUGCGUAGAUAUUAGGAGGAACACCGGCGGCGAAGGCGGCCUGCUGGACCGUAACUGACGUUGAGGCUCGAAAGCGUGGGGAGCAAACAGG
rnacentral:rRNA from 1 species